ACGGCCAUACCACAUUGAAAACACCGGUUCUUGUCCGUUCACCGAAGUUAAGCAAUGUCGGGCCCGGUCAGUACUUGGGAGGGUGACCACCUAGUGCUGUAGGCU